rfam:Listeriaceae bacterium FSL A5-0209 contig000047, whole genome shotgun sequence.
ACCAUGCUACAACCGCUCAGAAUAGGGUCAAGCAUUGUUUUCUAACAAUCCCCUCAUGAUGGCGAGUCUAAGUAUAUGA